rnacentral:tRNA from 1 species
GGAUAAAUAGUAUAAGUGGUAUUUUUAAUUGCAAAUUAAAAGGUUUUUUGUCCU